GGCACUCACCAGCUGGGGCAGGUCCAGGAUGUGGCGCCACGCUCGCCUCGGCGCGGCGCACCAUUCGCGGCUCCUUGAAGGAAUGUCACCACACAAAAGUUGAUAUAGAUUUGUAUGUGGUGACGACUUUUUUCCAUCAACCGAAUCUUCCUCGGGUCGAAUACUACCCUACUCCCAGUACUACGCCGCACUACUACAAUGAAUAUGAACUUUAGGAGCUAUUUUCAGACAGCUUUACUGUACAACUGACUCACUUUACACUUUCAAGCACUGCACUGUACAAACAUAACUCGACGAACUUGAGAGACUCACGAAUGGAUCUAUAGGGCUGGGUGGACCCUGUCAACACACUGAAUACUGGACUAAUAAUUUUAUUUAUACACCAUAGUACCAAAAAAACUCUACUAGUACUACUAUAACAGAAACUGGACUACUAAUUGGAGUCGACCAGAGGACAACAAAGUAUGUGGGAGAUUAAAUUCUUGUCCAAGCAGACAGGUCACAAUUAGUUUCUUAUACCUGCCUUGGGGGACCUAUUACAUAAAGCAAGCAAAGUCUGCAAGAGUCUGAGCCGGUUCCACUCGUCCACCACUUUAUUAGCGAACAAAUUCCUGCCUGUCUUUGUUGAAUCUAAAGUCUAGAUGUGGGCUAUUUCGUUUUCAUUUAUUUGCCCUUCAGCUGCUUCCUCUACUGAAAAAAAUAAUUUCGCUAUAUA